UACGUAGGUGGCAAGCGUUGUCCGGAUUUAUUGGGCGUAAAGAGCUCGUAGGCGGCUCGGUAAGUCAGGUGUGAAAACUCUAGGCUCAACCUAGAGACGCCACCUGAUACUGCCGUGGCUAGAGUCCGGUAGGGGAGCAUGGAAUUCCUGGUGUAGCGGUGAAAUGCGCAGAUAUCAGGAGGAACACCAGUGGCGAAGGCGGUGCUCUGGGCCGGAACUGACGCUGAGGAGCGAAAGCGUGGGGAGCGAACAGG
rnacentral:rRNA from 1 species